rnacentral:rRNA from 1 species
AUUGAACGCUGGCGGCAGGCUUAACACAUGCAAGUCGAGCGAGCGGCGGACGGGUGAGUAAUGUCUGGGAAACUGCCUGAUGGAGGGGGAUAACUACUGGAAACGGUAGCUAAUACCGCAUACCAGACGAUGUGCACAGAUGGGAUUAGAUAGUAGGUGGGGUAAUGGCUCACCUAGGCGACGAUCCCUAGCUGGUCUGAGAGGAUGACCAGCCCCACUGGAACUGAGACACGGUCCAGACUCCUACGGUAGGCAGCAGUGGGGUAUAUUGCACAAUGAGCGCAAUCCUGAUGCAGCCAUGCCGCGUGUGUGAAGAAUGCCUUCGGGUUGUAAAGCACUUUCAGCGAGGAGGCGUUACUCGCAGAAGAAGCACCGGCUAACUCCGUGCCAGCAGCCGCGAUAAUAC